rnacentral:rRNA from 1 species
CGUUAGCUACGGGGCGCAGCAGUAGGGAAUUUUCGUCAAUGGGCGCAAGCCUGAACGAGCAAUGCCGCGUGAACGAGGAAGGUCUUCGGAUCGUAAAGUUCUGUUGAAGGGGAAAAAGGGCGGAGAGAGGAAAUGGUCUCCGAUUGAUAUUACCCUUCGAGGAAGUCACGGCUAACUACGUGCCAGCAGCAGCGGUAAUACGUAGGUGGCGAGCGUUAUCCGGAAUGAUUGGGCGUAAAGGGUGCGUA